GUGCUCGCUUCAGCAGCAUAUAUACACUAAAAUUGGAAUGAUACAGAGAAGAUUAACAUGGCCCCUGGGCAAGGAUAACAUGCAAAUUCAUGAAGCGUUCCAUAUUUUA
rnacentral:snRNA from 1 species